AACCUAUGGAAUUUGAUGCUUUCUCUGGGUACUUAGUGUCAGAAUUGAGUUGAAACAUAGGACACCCAGCUGGUGUUGGGAGAGUUGCUCUGGAUGGGAAAAAUCCCACAUAUUAGAACUGAUGUCAGGAUUGUAUCCUGCCUUGCAAAAGAAGCUUUCUGUAUCUCUCUCUCUAUGCAUCAUUUUUUCUCUCCUAGAAAAACAUUCUCACUUGCUCCUUAUCUUAUGUUCUCAGUUUAUUGGUCAUAAUUUGGUCAAGUAUGGGCAUUUGACCCUGAUAUGAAAUGUACAACUUCCCAUUUUAUGAUGAGAAAGUUUUUUGAAUAGAUUUUUGAAAAGACAAUAUAUAUUUGCUCUAAAACAAAUUCAAAAUGCAAUUACAGGCAAAGAGGGCAACAGUGGAGGAGAGUUAUACUCACUGUGACCAGCUGAUAUCUGUGAAUCACCCUGGAAGUUCAUGCUGGAAUCAUCUGUGUAGACAAAGGGAUCUGGCCAGUGAUUCUCUUGGGCCAUUUUUCUCCUUGGGGGUGCUGACAUCUGGCAAGGGAAGCCUCUAUGAGAAAAGGGACACUGAUGAAGUCAUUCCUUCGCUGGAAAGCAAUGUUUUCAAGAGGACUGGCAUUGCUGUAACAACCUCAAGACAAAUUGGGUUAACUCCAAGAAUCUCUACCUGAGCUAGAAAAUGACCCAUUUUUUUUUAUCACAGAAAAACACUCCAGAUGUAUCAGUCAAAAAUGAAACUUUGUAAGUAUUAGAAAAUGUGUGUCAACAUCUUUGUGACUCAGAGUUAAAGGGAUAUUUUCUUUAGUGAGAUUUUUGAAACAGUCUAUGUUUGAAAAGAUGGAUACAUUAGACAAUUAGACUAGAUCCGAUGACCUUAGGUUUCUCAUCAGAAACCAAAGACAGACAAUGGAACAAAAAUCAUUACAGUACGGAAAGAAGACUGCCCACAUGGAAUUUUCUACCUAGGAAAAUACCUUUCAUGAAUGAAGGUGAAGUGAUGACAUUCUCAGAUUAAGGGAAACUAUGAAACCCAUGACUAUUAGUUCUGUUCUAUAGAAAUGUUAAUGAAAGUUCUUCUAUGGAGUUCCUGUCGUGGCACAGUGGUUAAUGAAUCUGACUAGGAACCAUGAGGUUGCGGGUUUGAUCCCUGGCCUUGCUCAGUGGGUUAAGGAUCCCGUGUUGCCGUGAGCUGUGGUGUGGGUUGCAGACGUGGCUCAGAUUCUGCGUUACUGUGGUUCUGGUGUAGGUCAGUGGCUACAGCUACGAUUAGACCCCUAGCCUGGGAACCUCCAUAUGCCACGGGAGUGGCUCAAGAAGAGGCAAAAAGAUUAAAAGAAAGAAAGAAAGAAAGAAAGAAAGAAAGAAAGAAAUGUUAAUGAAAGUUCUUCUAGGGAGUUCCCAUCAUGGUGCAGAGGAAAUGAAUCUGACUAGGAUCCAUGGGGUUGCCGGUUCAAUCCCUGGCCUUGCUCAGUUAAGGAUCUGGCGUUGCCGUGAGCUGUGGUGUAGGUCACAGAUGUGGCUCAGAUCCCAUGUGCUGUGGCUGUGGUGUAGGCCAUCAGCUAUAGCUCCAAUUCGACCCCUAGCCUGGGAACCUCUGUAAGCCGCGAGUGUGGCCCUAAAAAGCAAAAAAGAAAGUUGUUCAAGCUAAAGGGAAAUGGUACAAGAGGAAAACUGGAAUUUCUGGAAUGAAGAAAGAGCCAUAGAAAUGGUAAGUAUCUGUUUUUAAUAAUAACAACAACAUUUGGAGAAGUUUUUCGUGAGUUAAAUAAAUAUCAAAGUGCUUCAUGUACCUGAUACAUUUAAUUCUCAACAAACACAAGGGGAAAAGUACAGUUGUUAGCAUCCUCUUAUAAAUGAAGGAAGUAAGAUUUUAAAGUCUGGGCAGCUAGAGUAGCAUUACUGGGAAUGAGUUAGGUCUUACUAACUCCUGUAUACAGAAUCUAAACCUCUGCUCACUUCCCUGGCAAGGAAAUUUGAGGUCUACAGCUUAAACUGAUAUAAUUAAACAAAGAAGCAUAGGGUUCCUCUGAACUUGGGUGUUUCUCCCAAUCCAGGCUAUGAAGUGCACAAGACAGAAUUGCCAGCAAGGGCACUGCCCUUACUCACCAAGUGUUUAUUACCUGCCUUCUGCAGCCUGUGCUUAUGUAGGUCUGGUGACUCUGCAGUGAACAAAACAAAAAUUGCUACUGUGAUAGAAUUUCUAAUGUUAAAUAGUCUAAUGAGGAUUUGCAAAGACCAGGUUAGCACAAACUGGGAAAGUUUGGGAGCCCUGCACAGUAGACACCAACCUUUAGUAACAAGGAGUCUCAUAUUUCUCCCUGACUUACAUGAGGCAGUCGUAUCUUCUGAUCUUCCUCUGCCCUCCAUUUACAACCCUCUAUCACCUCCCUCCAAAUGGAGAUGGAGCUGUAUCCUUUAAGCUUGCUCCUUUAGUCUUUUAAAUCCUUUUUGACUACGUAAACCCUGCAAUCUGGGCUCCUAUCCUUCUCUCCCUCCCCUCCCCCUGCUUACCUGUCAUGAAUUCCCUUGGAGUACCCACUCUCAAGCCUGCUUGCUGUGUCUCUCUGGAAAUGCAGCUCCUUCAGUGUGCUCUCAUGGUGAAAGACUGUGUAUUUAAACCUAAUUUUUAAUACCAUCAGACUCAUUAGGGGUGUGUACCACCCAGACACACCCCUAAUGUCCCACCCUUCAUUCAUUCCUUCAGUCAUGUAUUUAUUCUAUUAAAGUAUGCUUAGAGACUAAUUUAACUGUUGAGGGAAAUAGAGUUAUUCUUUUUAUACUCAAACUCCCUACCUUUGACCAACCCUUUAAGCUGGCGCCUUUGUCUUUUUGAUACAACUGCCCCUUUACUUUUAUGUAUUUAUUCUUCUUUUAGGCCUGCACCCAUGGCAUAUGGAGGUUCCCAGGCUAGCAGUCCAAUCAGAGCUGUAAUGGCCAGACUGUGCCACAGCCACAGCAAUGCAGGAUCCUUAACCCCCUGAGCGAGGGCAGGGAUCGAACAGACAUCCUCAGGGAUACUAGUUGGAUUUGUUUCCACUGAACCACGACGGGAGCCCCCAUCCCCUUUGCUUUUAUAUUUACACUGCUUAAAGUUAUGGAUCUGUCCUGGAGUUCCCCUGUGGCACAGUGGGUUAAAGAUCUGGCAUUGUCACUGCAUUGGCCUGGGUUGCUGCUGUGGUGUGAGUUCGAUCUCUGGCCCAGGGAUUCCACAAAUCACGGGCAUAACCAAAAAACCCCCAAACAAACAAACAAACAAAAACAAAGUUAUAGGUCCAUCUCUUUAAAACAGCAGUACAAUGGACUUCCUGCUGUGGCUCAGAGAGUUACAAACCUGACUAGUAUCCAUGAGGAUGCAGGUUCAAUCCCUGGCCUCACUCAGUGGAUUAAGGAUCUGGCACUGCCUUGAGCUGAAGUGUAGGUCGCGGACUCAGCUUGGAUCCUGUGUUGCUGUAGACUGGCAGCUGCAGCUCUGAUUCGUUUGACCCCUUGCCUGGGAACUCCCAUAUGCCUCAGGUGCAGCCCUAAAAAGCAAAAAACAAAACAAAACAAACAAACAAACAAACCCACAGCAGUACAAAAUACAGCCCCCCCCCCAACUGGAAAAAUUUAACAUGGAUUAAAUCCAUUUAUGUUUGAUAGGAUAAUGCUUAUAUAUAUAAUGUAUGUGGACUGAUUUCUACUUUCUUAUCUUUGUGUUUUGUGUUUUUUUUGUUUGUUUUUUACUUCUCCUGCCUUCCUUCGGAAUGGUUGUACUGUAUCUCCUCCUCCUGUCCUACAAAGGUAUGUAAGUUAUAUGCAAGAUUCAAAGUUACCAUUAAUUUUUUAACAUACAUACCUAUUUAAAAAAUUCAAACAUUGAGAGUUCCCGUCAUGGCUCAAUGGUUAACGAAUCUGACUAGGAACCAAGAGGUUUCAGGUUCGAUCCCUGGCCUUGCUCAGUGGGUUAAGGAUCCUGCGUUGCCGUGAGCUGUGGUGUAAGUUGCAGACAGGCUUGGAUCCCAAGUUACUGUGGCUCUGGCGUAGGCGGGCGGCUACAGUUCCUAUUCGACCCCUAGCCUGGGAACCUCCACAUGCCGCGGGAGUGGCCCUAGAAAAGGCAAAAAGACAAAAAAAAAAAAAAAAAAGAAAAGAAAAGAAAAAUUCAAACAUUAAUCUGUAUGUCUAUACUUCUUCCAAACAAUAAAAUGCUCUUUGAAUUUUUAACAGUGAAUUCCCCUUCUUCAGUCUUUCCUAUUAUUUUUGUCUACUGUCUUAGGUCAAACUUGCUUUUACAGCCCUAAAAGUCAUCACUAUUCUUUAUUGUCACAAAUUUUUAUUUAGAUUUAACCAUAUGUUUAUCAAGUUCUUUGGCCAUCGUUGCUUUUUCCUCCUCAUUUUUCCUGUUGGGCACAGCUUUAUUCUUUCUGAAGUAGAAUUAUUAAUAGUUCCUUUUGGAGUUCCCAUCGUCGCUCAGUGGUUAACAAACCCGAUUGGCAUCCAUGAGGACAAGUGUUUGAUCCCUGGCCUUGCUCAAUGUGGUAAGGAUCCAGUGUUACCUUGAGCUGUGGUAUAGGUCGCAGAUGCGGCUUGGAUCCUGCGUUGCUGUGGCUGGCGGUUACAGUUCCCAUUGGACUCCUAGCCUGUGAACCUCCAUAUGCUGCAGGUGUGGCCCUAAAGAGACAAAAAGACAAAAAUUAAUUAAUUAAUUAAUUAAAAUUAGUA
rnacentral:lncRNA from 1 species